GGAGUGCCUACAGCAAAGGUAAGAGUGGUAACCAUGGAGAAGCACUGCUCAGAUGCUCAUUCUAGGAAGGAGCUGAUACCCAGGUGAAGAGGGGCUUCAGCAGACAGACUCCAGCUGUCGGUGCCUUCAGGGUCUGCUCAGGUGUGGAGAACUGCCUUGCCCGAUAUCACAGCCUUCUCAGGAUAUGAAUAGCUAUUGCAUCUCUAUGGUGGAAAUAAAUAUUAUAAAAUAGCUGUGCAACUGCCAUCUUUUCCCAGCUUUCCAUUCAGUGGGGUCAUUUUAUAGCUUGUUAUCUGCCAGAUGGGAGUAUUUACACCGUGAAAAUCGGCAAAUACUACAAAUCAAGGAGUCUAACCAGGACCAGAAGGUAGACACCACAAAAAACCAAGCACUAUGAAGAAUCAGAGAGGUAGUGAGGUCCCCAUCACUA